rnacentral:misc_RNA from 1 species
AAGUCGUAACAAGGUUUCCGUAGGUGAACCUGCGGAAGGAUCAUUACCGAAGUCAAGGCCCCUUCGGGGGCUAAACUUCCACCCUUUGUUUACCUUACCAUUGUUGCUUUGGCGGGCCGCCUUAGGCCACCGGCUCUCGAGCUGGUGCGUGCCCGCCAGAGACCCCCAAACCCAAACCAUAUUUAGUGUCGUCUGAAAACAAGUUUAAAUAUUAAAACUUUCAACAACGGAUCUCUUGGCUCUG